UUAAAUUGAAGAGUUUGAUCAUGGCUCAGAUUGAACGCUGGCGGCAGGCCUAACACAUGCAAGUCGAACGGUAACAGGAAGCAGCUUGCUGCUUUGCUGACGAGUGGCGGACGGGUGAGUAAUGUCUGGGAAACUGCCUGAUGGAGGGGGAUAACUACUGGAAACGGUAGCUAAUACCGCAUAACGUCGCAAGACCAAAGAGGGGGACCUUCGGGCCUCUUGCCAUCGGAUGUGCCCAGAUGGGAUUAGCUAGUAGGUGGGGUAACGGCUCACCUAGGCGACGAUCCCUAGCUGGUCUGAGAGGAUGACCAGCCACACUGGAACUGAGACACGGUCCAGACUCCUACGGGAGGCAGCAGUGGGGAAUAUUGCACAAUGGGCGCAAGCCUGAUGCAGCCAUGCCGCGUGUAUGAAGAAGGCCUUCGGGUUGUAAAGUACUUUCAGCGGGGAGGAAGGGAGUA
rnacentral:rRNA from 1 species